rnacentral:misc_RNA from 1 species
AUGCGAUAAGUAAUGUGAAUUGCAGAAUUCAGUGAAUCAUCGAAUCUUUGAACGCACAUUGCGCCCCUUGGUAUUCCGAGGGGCAUGCCUGUUCGAGCGUCAUUACACCACUCAAGCUAUGCUUGGUAUUGGGCGUCGUCCUUAGUUGGGCGCGCCUUAAAGACCUCGGCGAGGCCACUCCGGCUUUAGGCGUAGUAGAAUUUAUUCGAACGUCUGUCAAAGGAGAGGAACUCUGCCGACUGAAACCUUUAUUUUUCUAGGUUGACCUCGGAUCAGGUAGGGAUACCCGCUGAACUUAA